UUGCUUCAGCAGUACAUAUAUUAAAAUUGGAACGAUACAGAGAAGAUUAGCAUGGCCCCUGCACAAGGAUGACACGCAAAUUUGUGAAGCAUUUCAUAUUUUU
ensembl:snRNA U6 U6 spliceosomal RNA